rnacentral:rRNA from 1 species
AAUGAACGCUGGCGGCGUGCCUAACACAUGCAAGUCGGAUGUGCCCGCAAGGGUGCAUGGCAGACGGGUGAGUAACGCGUGGGGAAUCUACCUCUUUGUGGGGAAUAACGCUCCGAAAGGAGUGGUAAUACCGCAUGAGACCAAUGGCUGGAAUGUUGUUGGUGAAACCUGGGGACCGCAAGGCCUGGGGCAAGGAGAGGAUCCUGCGUCUGAUUAGCUAGUUGGCGGGGUAACGGCCCACCAAGGCGACGAUCAGUAGCCGGCCUGAGAGGGUGAUCGGCCACACUGGAACUGAGACACGGUCCAGACUCCUACGGGAGGCAGCAGUGGGGAAUUUUGCGCAAUGGGCGAAAGCCUGACGCAGCAACGCCGCGUGGGUGAUGAAGGUCUUCGGAUCGUAAAACCCUGUCGUCGGGGACGAAGGUAAUUCGGUUAACAACUGAGUUGCUUGACGGUACCCGGAGAGGAAGCCCCGGCUAACUCUGUGCCAGCAGCCGCGGUAA